CGGAACAUAUAGACCAUGUAGUUGAGAUCAAUGAAGUGGUCACUGAUGGCAACAAUAUCUACUUUGCCAGGGAUGAAGGUAGCUCUGGGGAACAUGUACCUAAUAUGGCAACAACUAUUACUCUGACCUUCCCCCAUCCUGUCUCAGGAAUACAGCUGGCAUUGCACGAGAAGAUCUGUAAGGAAGAACUGCAAAGGAAACCAGCCCAUCAGCACAGGAAGAUGAGGAGAAGGAGGAAAAAAAGAAAAGAUUGAGCUCUUCUAAGAACCAUCCCCACCACAGGCCCAAGGACACACAGCCCAAUUCAGUAGUGCUUUCGGAGUGAUAUACAGGAAUUACGUCAAGAAAAGCAGCAGACACAAGAACAUGGCAGAUUCAGGCAGAGAUGAAGAUGGAGCAGAGAAGCCAAGUCGAGAGACUGCACUUGGUACUUCUCUGGUUGCUUCAAGAAAAUACCUGGUGGAAGCAGGAGGGAUUGUUUUUACAAUCCAUCAUGGCGGCCAGAUGCCACAGAGAGAAGAUCCCAGAGUGUCUGGUCUUGUUACAUCCACAGUCAGGGAGAGAUGAAUGAUGCUAUUCUCCUCCUUUUUAUUCAGUCUGGGAUCUCGGGCCAUAGAAUGGCACCACACACAUUUAAGGCUUCCAAGCAAGCUCAUUAAAAUGUCAUCUAUCAACAAGAAAAUCUACAUGCUGAUCUAUCACCAGUUUAUAUUAUAGUACCCACCCUUUUUUUCUAGCAAGCAUCUUUCAUAAACAAUAUCUGUGAGACUUCAUCCAAGUUGAGAGCUUAAGCAACCCGAUAGCAGGUGUCAUCUCUUCCGUUCGUCACUGUGUGGCAUCUUGAGGACUACGUUCUGAAUAAGUGUUCACUGUCCAUUAACAUUCCUGCUGCUGCUGGUUCUCCUGGAGCUGGCUAAUGGGCCACAGAACAACUGCAGCUCCUAAGUGACAAGGCACUUCUUAUCCAAGUGGUGCCUGGGGUCCCUCUUGAAGACACCAAGUUUAGGAAUGAGACACAGACUGAGCCCAUGAUAAGCCAGCUUAACAUCCCGAAAUUAACAAAGAACCUAUGAACACAGGGAAUCCACUCUGGAAGACCCGAGCCUUUUGGGGAGGUCAGAGAAGCCUUCCUAGGUCUGAGUCCUGCUUGAGGAGGAAGGACUUAGAUCAGUCUUCAUGUAUCUCUGGAUAUGCCAGGAUCAUCAAUGAAGCUGUAACACAGAAGCCUCGGAGUGGGGUCCACAGCCGUCGGAGACAGUUAAGGAUGUGUGCCUCUGAUGACGACUUUGGAAUGAGACCAGAUGCAAAUCAGUAAAGUUUGUCUGUUACGCACUUUGAACCUAGAAGACAAAGACUACUAUGCCAGGGCCUGCCUGUGCCUGUUCUGAAGCCGAGGCACGCAUGGAAGGUCACCCAUCCUUCCCAACUAAAAGGUAGCAAACGAUGGACGAUUCUUUCGACUGUCCUCUGUUCUCUGGAAAGAGGACUGUCUACUCAUUGAAAUGUCUACCCGCAGCUUCACCAACUGUUUGAAAGCAGAGAGUACAGGCCAUGUGGAAAACGAGAGAAAACCACGUUUCCCUUGGUCUUCUUCUAAAAUUCUGGGAAGGAAAGCUGAUAUCCACUAGUGAAUAAAAACGCUGUGUCCACACUGUUCCAAGAGU
rnacentral:lncRNA from 1 species